rnacentral:sRNA from 1 species
AAGAUGGCGGCCGCGGCGGUGAACGGGGCGGCGGGCUUCUCAAGCUCCGGGCCCGCGGCGACCUCGGGCGCUGUCCUGCAGGCCGCGACCGGCAUGUACGAGCAACUCAAGGGCGAGUGGAACCGUAAAAGCCCCAAUCUUAGCAAGUGCGGAGAAGAGCUGGGCCGACUCAAGCUAGUUCUUCUGGAGCUUAACUUCUUACCAACCACAGGGACCAAGCUGACCAAACAGCAGCUAAUUCUGGCCCGUGACAUACUGGAGAUCGGGGCCCAAUGGAGCAUCCUACGCAAGGACAUCCCCUCCUUCGAGCGCUACAUGGCCCAGCUCAAAUGCUACUACUUUGAUUACAAGGAACAGCUCCCUGAGUCAGCCUAUAUGCACCAGCUCUUGGGCCUCAACCUCCUCUUCCUGCUAUCUCAGAACCGGGUGGCUGAGUUCCACACGGAGUUGGAGCGGCUGCCUGCCAAGGACAUCCAGACCAAUGUCUACAUCAAGCACCCUGUGUCCCUGGAGCAAUACCUGAUGGAGGGCAGCUACAACAAAGUGUUCCUGGCCAAGGGUAACAUCCCUGCCGAGAGCUACACCUUCUUCAUUGACAUCCUGCUGGACACUAUCAGGUGCGUAGUGGGGUCGGGCCCUGUGGAGUUUGGAAAGCACUUGGGCUUGAGUCGGACAGCUCCGAGUCUGAAUCUCAUUCCAUCCAUUGGUUGUCUGGGUAGGCUAGGUGUGUUUCUUAUCCUCCUAGCACCUCAGCUCUCCUUUCCAGUGAAUUGGGCCUGGUCAUGGGAUUGUGGAUAACGGCCCUCAUCUCACCACCCUUGGCUGUUGACAUGUGUGGCCAUGUGUGUCAAAC